AUACGGCUCAGUAACACGUAGUCAACCUGCCCUGGAGACAAGGACAACCCCGGGAAACUGGGAUUAAUCCUUGAUAGGUCAUCUCAUCUGGAAGGAGAGAUGGCUUAAAGGGGUACGCGGGCUUCUUCCGCGAAUUCGCUCCAGGAUGGGACUGCGUCCGAUCAGGCUGUUGGCGGGGUAAUGGCCCACCAAACCUGUAACCGGUACGGGCCUUGAGAGAGGUGGCCCGGAGAUGGACACUGAGAGAAGGGUCCAGGUCCUACGGGGCGCAGCAGGCGCGAAACCUUCGCAAUGCGCGAAAGCGUGACGAGGUUAAUCCGAGUGACUUCCGCUGAGGAGGUCUUUUGUCAGCUGUAAAUAGGCAGGCGAAUAAGGGGAGGGCAAGCCUGGUGUCAGCCGCCGCGGUAAUACCAGCUCCUCGAGUGGUCGGGGCGAUUAUUGGGCCUAAAGCAUCCGUAGCCGGUUCCGUAGGUCCUCUGUUNAAAUCCAACCGCUCAACGGUUGACCUGCAGAGGAUACCGCGGGACUAGGAAGCGGGAGAGGCGGACGGUACUCCGCGUGUA
rnacentral:rRNA from 1 species